rnacentral:rRNA from 1 species
UGGGGAAUAUUGGACAAUGGGGGAAACCCUGAUCCAGCAAUGCCGCGUGAGUGAAGAAGGCCUUAGGGUUGUAAAGCUCUUUCGCCCGCGAAGAUAAUGACGGUAGCGGGAGAAGAAGCCCCGGCUAACUCCGUGCCAGCAGCCGCGGUAAUACGGAGGGGGCUAGCGUUGUUCGGAAUUACUGGGCGUAAAGCGUACGUAGGCGGAUGCGCAAGUUGGGGGUGAAAUCCCGGGGCUUAACCUCGGAAUUGCCCUCAAAACUGCACGUCUUGAGACCGAGAGAGGUCAGGGGGAUUCCUAGUGUAGAGGUGAAAUUCGUAGAUAUUAGGAAGAACACCAGUGGCGAAGGCGCCUUACUGGCUCGGUACUGACGCUGAGGUACGAAAGCGUGGGGAGCAAACA